AUUGAACGCUGGCGGCAUGCCUUACACAUGCAAGUCGAACGGCAGCACGGGAGCAAUCCUGGUGGCGAGUGGCGAACGGGUGAGUAAUAUAUCGGAACGUGCCCAGUCGUGGGGGAUAACGUAGCGAAAGCUACGCUAAUACCGCAUACGAUCUAUGGAUGAAAGCGGGGGAUCGCAAGACCUCACGCGAUUGGAGCCGCCGAUAUCAGAUUAGGUAGUGGGUGGGGUAAAGGCUCACCAAGCCGACGAUCUGUAGCUGGUCUGAGAGGACGACCAGCCACACUGGGACUGAGACACGGCCCAGACUCCUACGGGAGGCAGCAGUGGGGAAUUUUGGACAAUGGGCGCAAGCCUGAUCCAGCAAUGCCGCGUGCAGGAUGAAGGCCUUCGGGUUGUAAACUGCUUUUGUACGGAGCGAAAAGGCUUCCACUAAUACUGGGGGCUCAUGACGGUACCGUAAGAAUAAGCACCGGCUUGCUACGUGCCAGCCGCCGCCGUAACAC
rnacentral:rRNA from 1 species